rnacentral:rRNA from 1 species
UACGAAGGGGGCUAGCGUUGCUCGGAAUCACUGGGCGUAAAGCGCACGUAGGCGGCUUCUUAAGUCAGGGGUGAAAUCCUGGAGCUCAACUCCAGAACUGCCUUUGAUACUGAGAAGCUUGAGUCCAGGAGAGGUGAGUGGAACUGCGAGUGUAGAGGUGAAAUUCGUAGAUAUUCGCAAGAACACCAGUGGCGAAGGCGGCUCACUGGCCCGAUACUGACGCUGAGGCACGAAAGCGUGGGGAGCAAACAGGG